rnacentral:rRNA from 1 species
CCCUGGAAACGGGGUCUAAUACCGGAUAUGACACGGGAUCGCAUGGUCUCAGCUCCGGCGGUGCAGGAUGAGCCCGCGGCCUAUCAGCUUGUUGGUGGGGUGAUGGCCUACCAAGGCGACGACGGGUAGCCGGCCUGAGAGGGCGACCGGCCACACUGGGACUGAGACACGGCCCAGACUCCUACGGGAGGCAGCAGUGGGGAAUAUUGCACAAUGGCCUGAUGCAGCGACGCCGCGUGAGGGAUGACGGCCUUCGGGUUGUAAACCUCUUUCAGCAGGGAAGAAGCGAGAGUGACAGAAGAAGCACCGGCUAACUACGUGCCAGCAGCCGCGGUAAUACGUAGGGUCCGGAAUUAUUGGGCGUAAAGAGCUCGUAGGCGGCUUGUCGCGUCGGAUGUGAAAGCCCGGGGCUUAACCCCGGGUCUGCAUUCGAUACGGGCAGGCUAGAGUUCGGCAGGGGAGAUUGGAAUUCCUGGUGUAGCAGAUAUCAGGAGGAACACCGGUGGCGAAGGCGGAUCUCUGGGCCGAUACUGACGCUGAGGAGCGAAAGCGUGGGGAGCGAACAGGAUUAGAUACCCUGGUAGUCCACGCCGUAAACGUUGGGCACUAGGUGUGCCACGUCGUCCGUGCCGCAGCUAACGCAUUAAGUGCCCCGCCUGGGGAGUAGAAUUAUAGA